UACAGAGGGGGCAAGCGUUGUUCGGAAUUACUGGGCGUAAAGGGCGCGUAGGCGGCCUGUUAAGUCGAACGUGAAAUCCCUGGGCUCAACCCAGGAACUGCGUCCGAUACUGGCUGGCUUGAAUCCGGGAGAGGGAUGCGGAAUUCCAGGUGUAGCGGUGAAAUGCGUAGAUAUCUGGAGGAACACCGGUGGCGAAGGCGGCAUCCUGGACCGGUAUUGACGCUGAGGCGCGAAAGCCAGGGGAGCAAACGG
rnacentral:rRNA from 1 species